rnacentral:rRNA from 1 species
UACGAAGGGGGCUAGCGUUGUUCGGAAUUACUGGGCGUAAAGCGUGCGCAGGCGGCUUCUCAAGUCAGGGGUGAAAGCCCAGAGCUCAACUCUGGAACUGCCUUGAGAUCUGAGAGGCUUGAGGUACGGGAGAGGUGAGUGGAAUUCCCAGUGUAGAGGUGAAAUUCGUAGAUAUUGGGAAGAACACCGGUGGCGAAGGCGGCUCACUGGCCCGUAACGUGACGCUGAGGCACGAAAGCGUGGGGAGCAAACAGG